GGGUCCAUAGCUUAGUGUUAGAGCAAUUGAGCUGCAUGUUUUAUUGUAGAUCAUGAGGUCACCGGUUCAAACUCGAUUGGGCCCU
rfam:Prunus persica cultivar Lovell chromosome G2, whole genome shotgun sequence.